rnacentral:rRNA from 1 species
UACGAAGGGUGCAAACGUUGCUCGGAAUUAUUGGGCGUAAAGCGCACGUAGGCGGCUUGGCAAGUCGGAUGUGAAAUCCCUCGGCUCAACCAAGGAAGUGCAUCCGAAACUGCUGAGCUUGAGUACUUAAGAGGAUCGCGGAAUUCCCGGUGUAGAGGUGAAAUGCGUAGAGAUCCGGAGGAACCCCAGAGGCGAAGGCGGCGCCCUGGCUCGCAACUGACGCUCAGACACGACAGCAUGGGGAGCGAACGGG